rnacentral:rRNA from 1 species
AUUGAACGCUGGCGGCAGGCCUAACACAUGCAAGUCGAGCGGAAGAAGGGAGCUUGCUCCUGGAUUCAGCGGCGGACGGGUGAGUAAUGCCUAGGAAUCUGCCUGGUAGUGGGGGAUAACGUCCGGAAACGGGCGCUAAUACCGCAUACGUCCUGAGGGAGAAAGAGGGGGAUAUUCGGACCUCAAGCUCUCAGAUGAGCCUAGGUCGGAUUGGCUAGUUGGUGGGGUAAAGGGCUACCAAGGCGAGGAUCCGUAAGUGGGCUGAGAGGAUGAACAGGCACACUGGAACUGUGACCCGGUCCAGGCGCCUACGGGAGGCAGCAGUGGUGAAUAUUGGACAAUGGGCGAAAACCUGAUCCAACCGUGCCGCGUGUGUGAAGAAGGUCUUCUGAUUGUAAAGCACUUUUAGUUGGGAGGAAGGGCAGUAAGUUAAUACCAUGCUGUUUUGACGUUACCAACAGAAGAAGCACCGGCUAACUUCGUG